GCCGCUGUAGCGUAGUGGUAGCGCACAUCCUUGGUAAGGAUGGGGUCGUGGGUCCGAUUCCCACCAGCGGCACCA
rnacentral:tRNA from 1 species